rnacentral:rRNA from 1 species
AUAGAGACUCAGAGCUGCAUAUCAAUAAGCGGAGGAAAAGAAACUAACAAGGAUUCCCUUAGUAACGGCGAGUGAAGCGGGAAGAGCUCAAAUUUGAAAUCUUCAAGGUUCUACCUUGACGAAUUGUAGUUUAAAGAAGUGUUUUCUGUUAGGAGUUGAGUACAAAGUUCCUUGGAAUAGGACAUCAUAGAGGGUGAGAAUCCCGUAUUUGUUAUUCAUUACUCAGCGUUGUGAUACACUUUCAAAGAGUCGGAUUGUUUGGGAAUGCAGUCCAAAAUGGGUGGUAAAUUUCAUCUAAAGCUAAAUAUUGGCGAGAGACCGAUAGCGAACAAGUACCGUGAGGGAAAGAUGAAAAGAACUUUGAAAAGAGAGUUAAACAGUACGUGAAAUUGUCAAAAGGGAAGCGUUUGACACCAGUGUUGUUUAGUUGAAAAUCAAUUCAAUAGUUUUUGAUUUUGAGUAGUAUUGACUUCAUCAGCUUACUGCUUUCUUUUCAGGAAUUAUUGAAUGCACUUUUCAGUUAACAAGUCAACAUCAAUUUCUUUUGUUGUAAAAGGGUAAGAGGAAGGUGGCUUACGCUUCGGCGUAAGUGUUUAUAGCCUUUUACCUCUGCAAUCGGAGAGAUUGAGGACAGCAGCGUAGACUCCUUCUGGGGUUAGAUACACUUGUGCUAAGCUAUAGCCUUGUAUAGACAACUUGUUGACUAUGCUCAGUCAUGUAGCUUACUCGCUUGUGCUAUUUUACCUACGCUUAGGAUGUUGAAGUCAUCGUAUCGCGC